GCGGGUGUAGCUCAAUGGUAGAGCAACAGCCUUCCAAGCUGAUAACGAGGGUUCGAUUCCCUUCACCCGCU
rnacentral:tRNA from 1 species